UCAUUUUAUAUUUUUUUAUAAUUUUUUUCUAUUUACGCACUAUUUUCGGCCCUUGUUUUUUUUAAAUUCGAAAAAUCAAUUUUUAUAGAAUGUUUUGCUGUUUUAAUGAUAGAAUAUGAUGUGUUAAUCAUAGUAGAACACGUUAAUGUGCAUUUUACAGAUUGUUGAUGUCAUUUUAUAUUUUUUUAUAAUUUUUUCUAUUUGCGCACUAUUUUCGGCUCUUUUUUAAAAAUUCGAAAAAUCAAAUUUUAUUAAAUGUUUUGCUGUUUUAAUGGUAGAAUAUGAUGUGUUAAUCAUAGUAGAACAUGUUAAUGUGCAUUUUAUAGAUUGUUAAAAUUAAAUAUAUGAAUUUUGUAGUCAAAUUCAGGUUAUCUAGUUCAUAAAUUCAUCAGACAGUCCGAUACAACUUCUCACCAAAGAGUGGACCGUUACACCACCAUAAACAUGUUCCAAUUUAUAAAUGAAUGCAUAUUUGGAAUGCUUAGAAUAUUCCGGAUUUAAUCCAUAUUUUUAAAUAUUUUUUUGGCAAAAA